rnacentral:rRNA from 1 species
CCAUUAAUAAAUUUUAUAAAAAAUUUUAAUUUUAAAUUACCUGUUUAAAAAAUAAUAUUAGUCAAAUAAAAUUAUUUUAAUUAUAAGGUUUGUAAAUACAAAAAUUCAUACAAACCAGGGUUAGACUCCUGUUAUAUUUUUUACAAAAAAUUUUUAGGAGUAAAAGACUGUCUCUAAAAUAAAAUAAAAUGGCGGUAAAUCUAUCCCUGGCGGGGGAGCUUGGUUAUAAAUGGAUAAGCCACUUUUUAUCUUACUAAUUUUUAUUUUUUGUGUGGUUGUUGCAUAAAAAAAUAUUAUCAUUAAUUUUAAUUCAGAUAACAUGAAGAAAUAAAUUAGGUUAACUUAGCUACAUUAAUAAUAUAAAUUACUUGGUAAAAAAAAAUAAAUUGGACUCGCUAGUAAAAAAGAAUUAAAAAAAUAAUUUUGAAAAGGUUAUAGUUUAUGUACAUAUCGUCCGUCGCUCUCAAAAAU